CUCACUGUUUUGGACACUAUCCUCUCUCUGUCUCUCUCUCUCUCUCUCUCUCUUUCUCUCUCUCUUUCUCUCUCUCUCUCACUCCUUCUUGUUCUCUCCAUCUCUCCAUCACCUUCUGUAGUGUUGCGUCUAUAUAUCGGUGUGUGUGGUAUCAGGAAGUCCGGGCCAGUGAGUCUCUCAAGUGCCACUUUCUUACAGCCUCUAGUUGACCCCGACUCCCAUUUUCUACCAGUCAGUAAAUCAUGAUUCUAAUUCAGAAAAGGAUUUAUCAACAGCAAAAAAAAUCAAUGUCCAGGUCAGUGUAAUGACACAAGCUCCUCUACAAACCUCUACAUGAAACGUGACCCGAAACUCUCACGCGUUGCCCCUCUACAAGUCAAGACAUAGGCUUUACAAUCACCUGACAUAAGCUUCACAAACACCUGACAUAAGCUUCACAAACACCUGACAUAGGCUUCACAAACACCUGACAUAAGCUUAACAAACACUUGACAUAGGCUUCACAAACACCUGACAUAGGCUUCACAAACACCUGACAUAGGCUUCACAAACACCUGACAUAAGCUUAACAAACACCUGACGUAGGCUUCACAAACACUUCACAAACACCUGACAUAAGCUUAACAAACACCUGACGUAGGCUUCACAAACACUUCACAAACACCUGACAUAGGCUUCACAAACACCUGACAUAGGCUUCACAAACACCUGACAUAAGCUUAACAAACACUUCACAAACACCUGUCAUAGGCUUCACAAACACCUGACAUAUGCUUAACAAACACUUGACAUAAGCUUAAAAAACACUUCACAAACACCUGACAUAGGCUUCACAAACACCUGACAUAGGCUUCACAAACACCUGACAUAGGCUUCACAACAAACACCUGCCAAGGGCUUCACAAACACGAACACCUGCAUGCCUCUGCACAUUGGUGCAGUCAUUAGAUGGUGAGCUGGAUAUUUAGCGCUAGACUUAGAACCCUCUCUCAGCUGAGAGACUUUAGCGAACUCCUUGACCUUUGAACUCCUUGACCUUUGAACUCCUUCACCUUUGACCUCCUUCACCUUUGACCUCCACACUAGCGGAUGAUGUCUGGUCAGCCCUCUCAGGGAGACAGGCUGGUCUCACUUUGGCUGAAUUGUCCUUCAGUACUGUGUACUUAAUACAUUAUUGAAUGAUAAGUGCAGUGUACUUCUCAUGUUAGCACAUCAGCUAUCACAAGAGUAACUUGGGUUUUUAGUGUAGUGUGAUGCUUAGUGGGAUGUAUGGUAGUUAGUAGUAUGGUUAUCAUGGGAAGUACAUGCGAUUACUGAUCACGUAGUUAAGUAGACCAGUGGUUCUCAAACUAGGGGUCGGGAUCCCAAGUGGGGUCGCCAAACGUUUUUUGGGGGUCGCGAAAUGAUCUUGCUGCCCUGUGCGUCAACAUAUUAGGCUUUGACAUGCUGUAUAGUCUAUCAGAAAUGGUGUUUUCUACAUCAGGAUGGAUAAUGAAAACUAAUAUUUUCUCAGCAAGCAGUCUCAUCAUUCAAGAUGAAACUGAAUUUAGACCUAUAAUAUCCUGUCAAAAUGUGUUGGGGGUCGCGAGACUUGGCAAAUGGAUUUUAUGGGGUCCCCGGACAAAAAGUUUGAGAACCACUGAAGUAGACCAUGACAAGGACACCGGAGAUAAAGUGGGGACCUCAGGCCUUGUGGAGACAGUGUGCCAGGUCGUCACGGAGACGCAGACGUGGCCGUCUGCUCAGCCUUAGCCAUACUUUUAUAUCCGUAAACAAAAACACGUUUAGAGCUAGCUGUCUAGACUGAACACACCGCCUACAGGGCUGUUUGGGUCUCUUGGUAUUGUCAGCUAAAGGGUUAGCAUGCUUGCUUUGGAUCUGCAAGGCAGUGUGUACAGGAUAGAGGUGUCCUCUUUUCUGUGGCGUUUGGCACAGAAGCGCCAUCUUGUGGACAGAAGACAGAACUAUUCUUUGACCUGUCUAGUCCACUCCUCCUACCCCUUUCUGUCUGUGUCUUUUUCUCCCUCCCUUUCUCACACUCCUCCUCUCUCUCUGUUCAUCAUUCAUUCACAAUUCCACCUCUCUUUGUACAAAAUCUUUGAACACUAGUAGCAGUCCGAAAAAAAGGGACGGGAUUUAAAAAGGUAAAAAAAAUAUGGGAAUAUUUUUGCAGAUGAACUGUACUUGUUAUUUAUGAGCUCUAUCCCCGCAGUGACUGGCAUGAGCAGAAGAAGACUCUUGGUCACAGAGUUAAUUAAGCAAAUUAUAAAAAAAUAUAAAUUGUCUUUUUUUUUUUUUUUUUUUUUUCUAUCUUCUGUUGUCUUUCUCUCUUUUGUUUGACUGUUCAGCCUGUUCUGUUUGCACCCACCCCUGUCUUCUCUGAGGUCCUCUUAGCAGUGGUGUCGUGUGUGAGUCAGUAAGUGCUGUUUAGACUGUCACGGAGCCUCGGUCUUAUCAAAACGAAAGAGAAAAGAAAAAAAAACACUUCAAAAAACACCAAGUGUCUUAAAAUAUUGUAUCGCCAUUGUUUUUAAUGCCAAGUACUUACAGUACUACUUGUAAAUGUUUUGUGUUUCAAAAUGUGGCCUCAAACAAAACUAAACAAUUAUUCUGAUUAUUAUUUGAACGUUUUAUUUUAUUAAGUGCUGUUGACCACUGCUGUGAAAGUAGUUCAUUUUUUGUUGAUUGAUAUGGAAUAAAUAUUUAUGAAAUUUCAGCAUUUCAGUCCUUUUCUUUGCAUCAGUAUUUAUCAGUUAAGACACAACACUCCAUUUACAAUUAGGAGACGCUUUUAUCCAAAGCAACUUACAAGGA
ensembl:lncRNA